UGGGGAAUAUUGCACAAUGGAGGGAACUCUGAUGCAGCGACGCCGCGUGAGUGAUGAAGGACUUCGUUUCGUAAAACUCUGUUCUAUGGGAAGAAAAGGACUGUACCAUAGGAGAAAGCUCCGGCUAAAUACGUGCCAGCAGCCGCGGUAAUACGUAUGGAGCGAGCGUUGUCCGGAAUUAUUGGGCGUAAAGGGUGCGCAGGCGGCUUUACAAGAUGGAUGUGAAAUAUUGUGGCUCAACCACAAACGUGCAUCCAAAACUGCAAAGCUUGAGUUAAGGAGAAGUAAGUGGAAUUCAUGGUGGAGCGGUGGAAUGCGUAGAUAUCAGGAGGAAUACCGGUGGCGAAGGCGACUUACUGGAAUUAAACUGACGCUCAGGCACGAAAGCGUGGGGAGCAAACAGG
rnacentral:rRNA from 1 species